GGUGAACCUGCGGAAGGAUCAUUACCGAGUGAGGGCCCUCUGGGUCCAACCUCCCACCCGUGUUUAUUUUACCUUGUUGCUUCGGCGGGCCCGCCUUAACUGGCCGCCGGGGGGCUCACGCCCCCGGGCCCGCGCCCGCCGAAGACACCCUCGAACUCUGUCUGAAGAUUGAAGUCUGAGUGAAAAUAUAAAUUAUUUAAAACUUUCAACAACGGAUCUCUUGGUUCCGGCAUCGAUGAAGAACGCAGCGAAAUGCGAUACGUAAUGUGAAUUGCAAAUUCAGUGAAUCAUCGAGUCUUUGAACGCACAUUGCGCCCCCUGGUAUUCCGGGGGGCAUGCCUGUCCGAGCGUCAUUGCUGCCCUCAAGCCCGGCUUGUGUGUUGGGCCCCGUCCUCCGAUCUCCGGGGGACGGGCCCGAAAGGCAGCGGCGGCACCGCGUCCGGUCCUCGAGCGUAUGGGGCUUUGUCACCCGCUCUGUAGGCCCGGCCGGCGCUUGCCGAUCAACCCAAAUUUUUAUCCAGGUGACCUCGGAUCA
rnacentral:rRNA from 1 species